CAUUUCUCCUCAACGACAUGGCUGAUAAUCUCCAUAAUCUCCAACAAUUAACCUGGAAAUUCAGCUUUCGCUUCAAGUAUUUCAUUUAUGAAAGUGCAGGAGAGAGGGGGGGAUAUCUCGGCUACAACCAUGUUGAGAUCGAUUGUGGUUCCCUUCAAGGUUUCCUGUUAUCCAACCUCCGAUGUGUAUUGAAGGAAAAAUCAGGUCAGUGAACUCGUCGACGAAUUGAAAAGUUCCGUCGUAUCCGACUCGCUUCGAUGGUUACGACUUUCUCCGACAAUCGCCCUGCCGGCUAUGAAAUCAUUCUUUCCAGAUUUAUAUCCAAGAGAAAACCUGAUUGUCUUCUUAGUCAGUCCUUUUGUGAUCAACUGCAAAACAAGGUCUCCGUUCUUCCUGCCAUACAGAUUUCUUGUGCACUAAGAUGUCAGAUAUUUGGGUGUUAUUAUUAGUAACUUCAGUGCUACUUCUGACGAUGUGUGGACGCUCGUUGGCUGGAAAUCACGAUGACGACGACGACAAUGGAGAGAUAAUGGAGAUGAUCACAGCAGGGCUGGUGGCUUUACUGCUACAAUCUCACUAAUCUUCUUAAUUCCCCAUUUACUACGAGCAUUAAUUACCCUUGCAAGACGAGGGUCAUGUUGUUUUUCUUUUCAAAUUUCUCUUGUUCAUUUUUCAUUUGCUCACCAGUAUUAAGUAAGGUAGCUAUUGACAGAAAUAUCUAAAAUGUUAAUAGUUUAGACCUGGUCAUGUUCUGUUUUUCCAGAUUUAUGUAUUUUGUAUUUUACAUAAUCAUGUUUAGAUUUUGAGAAUAUACAUUGUUAUGUGAAGAGUAUAAAUCAUUUGGUUCACAGAAUGAUUUAAGAUUUAGAGAGUUAUAGUUAUAUGUUGUAAUGAAAUUUUUAAAGAACUCUCGCCAUUUUUGAACGAACAACCAACUUUAUUAGUCAAAACUUACAGAAUAACUGGAAAAACAUUUUUUAAGCUUGCGCAGCGCCUGCGGAUAUUCUUUGCGGAUAAUCGUCUGCGGUAAAUUACAUUUGUUAGUGGAAUUAUGUUGGUAGCGUAGCAACGCAAAUACGUUGCAAUGGUUUUGCUGUUUAAAUUCAAAAAUAUAAUUUGGAAAAGUACAACGAAGAAGCGAAAUAAUAAAGAAAAAAUUGUGUCCAUUGUAUAAUUGUAUAAUAAAGCGAAGGAAAAGAAAUGGCGAAAAGAUUUAAUUAAUUAUUUUCAUGUUAUUCAGUGCACUGUUUCUUUAUUUCAUGCAAUGUACUUUCCUUAGUUUAGAUGUAUGUAAAAUAAUCAAACGAUACGUUUAAGCCUCGAAUGUUUUAAUUUAUUGUUUGUUAAAUGUAGUACCAUCUUCUAAAUGCAGGAAAAUCUUGCUUAACACAGCAAGUAAAAAGGACCCUAAGGGUACUUCUCUUUAACUAAUGCAGCAGAUAUUUCAAAGACUUGAUGAAUAUGUGUAAUUAAUUCGUCAGUUCUCGUAAAUUUAAGAAAAACAUUUUAUGCUACGUUAGGCAAUAAAACCUAAAACAUUAAUAAAAUCUGUGCUCAACUCGGUAACCAAUCAGUGCUUGCAUCAGGAAACAGUUUCGAAUAUUACAGCCAAUACAAGCUUUAGGCGUGUGGUGCUUGAAAUCUUCGCAGCAGGCUUAGAUACGCCUCUCAAAGAUAUUUACUUACUUACCAUCGUAUGAGUUGCUGUACCGACUGUUACAUGACUAUCAACAUUUGUACUCAGUUGGUGGAUCAUUCUACUGUCGCCAGUACUAGCCAAAAAUCUCCAUAGAAUAUUAAAAUUUGUAGCGGAAUUCCUACAGUUACUUCGGAACAUUGGUAUUUGUGACCUAUGGUUAUUAAAGAGACCCUGUCAAGACUUUGACUGUACUGAAAGAUACUUUUUUUCCUCUCAAAGAUACUGAAGUACCACGCUGAGCUGUACUUCUGAAGCUUACCAAUAGGUCCACGAGACAAAGGUGACAAAGACGAGGCAAAUCUGAGGUCGCCACAUUGAAAUCCACGAAUUGACAAGGACUUAAAGCGUGGAACUUCCUUUAGAAUGGCAUUAAAAAUGCUGUAAGAGCUCAGUAACUGUGAGAGCUCAGUAACUGUAAAAGCUCAGUACUGUGGAACUCAGCAACCAUCCAGCAUUUGCAGCAGGAAACACAACCAACUAGUAUUUCAGCGAACAGCAUAGGCCCACUCUGGCUUUGCCAGUACAUAAGAAAGAAGAAAUUUCCCUAAACUUUCAUCGCACAAUUCAUUAAAUUCAAUAUUUUUCCAAUUGUAUUGAUUUUUUAAAUAAUGUUAUCAACUCGGUUGUUGAAACACAUUGACAGGAAUUUAUGUUACUGCAAACUGAAGGGGAAAAAAGUCUUAGGUGAUUAAUUACUCGUUUAAAGCGGGAAACGUUACCAUUUCACUCAUUAACUAAAAAAGCUCUAACUGAUUAUCCCCCCCCCCACCAUAUUGAAUUUGCAAUAAACAAGGUUUUCUUGCUCUUGCACAAACUUUUUGAAAGUAUAUUUCUCAUUAUAAAUCUGCAUUCUUUACAUAAUAUGCUUAUAUAUUGUAUUAUUUAUAUAUAAUGAUGUAGCUAUUUAAACUUUAAAAUUAUACUACAAACGAAUAUAAUUCGUGUUUGUUUCGUUUAAAACACAGUUAUUGAUGCAAAGGUUUUGUAUUAUAUGUCACAGAUACGUACGGCAUUGCAUAAACCUUAAUUUUCAUGUCGUGUUUCCAGUAUUUUAUUUGUGACUUUAGAAUAACCCACUGAGAUGUUUGUGCCAAAACCUUAUUCGAGUACAAGCUAUUCCAUAGAUUUCAAUCCAGUAUACUUGUUAAUGGAACAAAGAUUGUAUCCGAAUUAUGUGUAAAAAUAUAUUCCAGAAAUAAAAUAUUUCACUGAAAGAA